rnacentral:rRNA from 1 species
UGGGGAAUAUUGGACAAUGGGCGCAAGCCUGAUCCAGCCAUGCCGCGUGAGUGAUGAAGGCCUUAGGGUUGUAAAGCUCUUUCACCCGGGACGAUAAUGACGGUACCGGGAGAAGAAGCCCCGGCUAACUUCGUGCCAGCAGCCGCGGUAAUACGAAGGGGGCUAGCGUUGUUCGGAAUCACUGGGCGUAAAGCGUACGUAGGCGGACCGUUAAGUCGGAGGUGAAAUCCUGGGGCUCAACCCCAGAACUGCCUUCGAUACUGGCGGUCUCGAGUCCGGAAGAGGUGAGUGGAACUGCCAGUGUAGAGGUGAAAUUCGUAGAUAUUGGCAAGAACACCAGUGGCGAAGGCGGCUCACUGGUCCGGUACUGACGCUGAGGUACGAAAGCGUGGGGAGCAAACAGG